rnacentral:lncRNA from 1 species
ACAUGUUUGUUUUCUUCUCCUAGGUGUGAAAUUUUAUACAGCACUAAAACCUUUUUAUACAUUUUCCUCAGGAUAACUUUGGAAAAAUAAUUUUGUGCUGGCUUGAAAAGUUCCUGGAAAAUUCACUUGUGUGAUUGUUGUUUUGAGAAGACUGAAGAUCCAUCUAUACAGAGAGAUGCAGGAACUACUGGAUGAAGGGAAAUGGAUAUGCCCUGUGGAAGCAUGAGUGGCAUGAGGGUGACUUAGACUCUGUGCAAGUCUGACAGUGCUGUAGGGGGGAGGAACUGGGGCUCCCAGCUCUCCCCCCUGCACCCUACUGGUUGAAUUGCAAAUGGAGUACAGCCAGGAAGACCACCUGCAAACAUGGAGUUCAAAGAGUACAGGUUACCUAAAUGGCCCUGGAGUGAGCUGACUUAUUGUACAGGAUCACAAAACAUGCAGGAACAUGAAGAGAUCUUGCCAAGUUGUGUAAAGAGAGAAAUGGAUAGGUAAUGAUGAAAUACAAGGAAACAGUUUGGCUGUGAUGCCGCAUGAGGAUGCUCCGUCUUGCCUGGAAAAUAAAGGUGACACAAUGCCCA